rnacentral:rRNA from 1 species
UACGGGGGGGAGCAAGCGUUGUUCGGAUUUACUGGGCGUAAAGCGCACGUAGGCGGCUUUGUAAGUUAGAGGUGAAAGCCCGGGGCUCAACCCCGGAAUUGCCUUUAAGACUGCAUCGCUCGAAUCCAGGAGAGGUGAGUGGAAUUCCGAGUGUAGAGGUGAAAUUCGUAGAUAUUCGGAGGAACACCAGUGGCGAAGGCGGCUCACUGGCCCCGAUACUGACGCUGAGGCACGAAAAGCGUGGGGGAGCAAACAGG